rnacentral:rRNA from 1 species
GUCCACGCCCUAAACGAUGUCAACUAGUUGUCGGGAGGGUAACCCUCUUGGUAACGCAGCUAACGCGUGAAGUUGACCGCCUGGGGAGUACGGUCGCAAGAUUAAAACUCAAAGGAAUUGACGGGGCCCGCACAAGCGGUGGAUUAUGUGGAUUAAUUCGAUGCAACGCGAAAACCUUACCUACCCUUGACAUGUACGGAACUUGCCAGAGAUGGCUUGGUGCUCGAAAAGAGAACCGUAACACAGGUGCUGCAUGGCUGUCGU